rnacentral:rRNA from 1 species
GACGAACGCUGGCGGCGUGCUUAACACAUGCAAGUCGAGCGGUAAGGCCCUUUCGGGGGUACACGAGCGGCGAACGGGUGAGUAACACGUGGGUGACCUGCCUUUAGCUCUGGGAUAAGCCUGGGAAACUGGGUCUAAUACCGGAUACGACUCCGCGGUGCAUGCUGUGGGGUGGAAAGCCUUGUGCGGCUGGAGAUGGGCCCGCGGCCUAUCAGCUUGUUGGUGGGGUGAUGGCCUACCAAGGCGACG